rnacentral:lncRNA from 1 species
GCUUCGGGCGCUCGCUGGUGGCGGACCCGGAGGCUGCUGCUGCGUGCCGGGGCUCCUUGGCCCGGAUCGAAUUCGAUCCGGAGCCAUGAGUAUGGACAAGGCCGAGCUAUGCGGGUCUCUGCUCACCUGGGUAGGGCCCCUAGAGACCCUUCCUGGUUCAACGACGCAUGGCUCCAAGGCAUCUCAGAGGACCCGAGUCCCAGCUGGAGGUUGAAGGUCAGGAAGCUGGAGAGGAUCCUACAGAGCUUGGUGGAAUACUCAAAGGAUGUUCUGGGGCACCCUGUGUCACAUCAGCAUCUUCCAGAUGUGAGCCUCAUCGGCGAGUUCUCAAACCCCGCAGAACUCGGCAAACU